rnacentral:rRNA from 1 species
UACGUAGGGGGCUAGCGUUGUCCGGAUUUAUUGGGCGUAAAGAGCGUGUAGGCGGUCAGGUAGGUCGGUUGUGAAAACUGGAGGCUCAACCUUCAGAGGUCGACCGAAACCCCCUGGCUAGAGUCCGGGAGAGGAGAGUGGAAUUCCUGGUGUAGCGGUGAAAUGCGCAGAUAUCAGGAAGAACACCCGUGGCGAAAGCGGCUCUCUGGAACGGUACUGACGCUGAGGUGCGAAAGCGUGGGGAGCAAACAGG